GGGAAUUUUCCGCAAUGGGCGAAAGCCUGACGGAGCAAGACCGCGUGAGGGAUGAAGGCCUUUGGGUUGUAAACCUCUUUUCUCAGGGAAGAAUACAAUGACGGUACCUGAGGAAUAAGCCUCGGCUAACUCCGUGCCAGCAGCCGCGGUAAGACGGAGGAGGCAAGCGUUAUCCGGAAUCACUGGGCGUAAAGCGUCCGCAGGUGGCUUUCCAAGUCUGCCGUCAAAGCCCGAGGCUUAACCUCGGAUCGGCGGUGGAAACUGGAUCUCUAGAGCAAUCAGGGGUAGGGGGAAUGCCUCAUGGGCGUUGUAAUCAAAGGAUUAGAUACCCCAGUAGUCAUGAGGAAUCUCCGCAAUGAGAUAGAACACCAGUGUCACGGGAUUGGGCGC
rnacentral:rRNA from 1 species